rnacentral:lncRNA from 1 species
CAAGAAAUAAUGCACAGCUGAAAUUCACAAUGUUGUAAACUAUCACGAACUCAAUAAAAAAAAUGCUAAGUAUAACAAUUCAAAACUCCUCUAGAAGAUGCAUAUGUGUUCUGAUGUGCGUAAUAUAUUUUAAAGUUUAGCCACAACUAUGAAAAGAUAAUCAAUCUAAAGAAAAUGGAAACAAUAAUAGCUUGCUUUGGGAAGUCUGAUUUUAAGUGCAAAUUUUUAUGGAAGUCUACUGUUUCUGGAGAAUAAUAAAUGAUAUAUGAAAUGCCUGGAAAAUACAGUAAAAAGCAGAGAAUCCAAUCAAGAAGAAGACCAAAGCCCUGAUAGUGAAGUGGAUUGCCCAAGUUCACACAACUACUGACCGAAUAAGCCAGGAGUCAAGUCCAGAUUGCACAAAACCAUGUCCAGAACACCAUCAAAUGUGGCAUAAAGCUUCAGACCAAAAUGAAGCAGUAGGUGUGCUCAGCCUUGAAUGUGCCCACCAGACGAAAACCUACCCCAGAUGGCAUAUCCAAUUUAAUCAACAUCACCUGUGAGCCAAACUGAACAGUAAAUGUUAAGACAGGAUCACUAAUAAUGGGGACCUGGAAUGUAGCCAGAAUUAAAACAAUGAUCUGCUUAACAAUCCCUCUGGGCUGGAUGCAUGUGGAGAACGGAUAAAUGCUGGAUAUCGAAACAGCUGUUCUAUGGCAAACUGAAAUGGGGCAAUCAUAGAUAGCAAAGGGAGAAGAAACACUUGAAAGUUGUCUUAAAUAAAGUAGUGCUUUAAAUAGUGUGUGACCUGGCUGUGGCCUUUUAGAAGCAACCAUCACAUACAAACCACCCUGGCAUGCAUUUCUAGACAAUGAGGUAGCUUUUGGUGAGCAAAGCCUAUGGAAUUAUAAAAGGCAGUGACAACUGGUAACCAUCAGUCCCCAGUACACAUAGACAAUAUGGGUCCAAACAUCAGCUUGGAAUAUGGAGGCCAGUGCUCCAAAUGAAAAUUCCAUAUUACCACCUCUUGGACACUGCCUCCUAAACGUGACCAUUUUCUGUGAACUCUUUGUAGGUAUUGUAUAAACUACCCUGUUUUUCAUAUCCUGUCUAUUAUCUAUCAUUUUAAGAUUAUAAUUAUGUAGUGUCUUCUCAUCAGAAUCACAAAUUGCCUUAGAUCAGAAGCUAAAGUUGAUGUUCAAAAUAUUUAACAGCAGACACCAGCACAGAGCGACCAGAACAGCAGCUUGACGCCGUCCUGGCUUGCACCAGCUAUUGUCUCCAUUCUUUUGUGUUGUUGCCCCCACACUGCGAAGCGUAGUAGGACUGUAUACACACUGUCUUCUCAGAAAGGACUUCUUGACUGAUUGACUCCCCAAGUUCAUUUUUGUGUUUAUCCGUCAAAUGGGGACAUCCUAUAUCAGUGUGUAAAUUAUCAUCCAUACAACUGUAUUAAAAUAAGCAUGCCAAUUACAGACCUAGGACUCAAAAAUAAGCAGGGAACCAAGGAAGAAACCGGUUGUUCAAGAAAAAUUUACUGUAUUCAGGUUAUUUUAAGAUAUAUACUUUCCAUCACUGUGCUAUAUUUAGGAAUAUAGGGCUAAAGAGAAUAUUGUGCUUACUUUCCAGGAGCAUAAAGGUUAGUACAAAUACAAGUUUACCG